UGCAAAGUUAUCGCCCUUCUGAACAUUCUACGACAAUCCAAACCCCCUAGGGGGUUAAUAAAAAAAGGCAUUACCUAUGGGCGUCAUUAGAGUCUUUUCACACUAUAUAACUCAACCAUCUCUCAAGUUCUAAUCCCUUCUUCACUCUCCCUCACGCCUCUCACAAACAAACCAGUCCGGCACUCAAACAAUAAUUUCUCACACUUGAAUCGAUUGCUUCUUCGUUUGGCUUCUCGAAUUAAGAGUUGUUUAGCGAGAGGAGAAAUGGAUGCUGUGCUUUGUUUAUCACUUUCCAUUAGAAAGAUCUUGAUGUAUAUGAAAUGAAUGUUCGCGCGUUUACAGCUGAUGAAUCUAGUGAGUUGGAUCCAGACAUACGUGGCAGCUACUUAGGUUUCAUAGAAAAGGUAGUGCUACCCAAACAUGUCAAAUGCAUGUAUUGAAGAUGCAAAAGAAAUCCAAAAGUGAUGUCGAAUGCAUCGGUCUUGUUCCCAGUAUCGACACAGGUUUUCGUCAACCAUUUCUAUAGAACACACUGCAAUCUAAAGCAAGGACAAUGAGAUAUGUGAAAAGACCGGAGUAACAUACUGCAACUUAUAAUGGGAUCAUUGAUAUCUCUCAGAGAAUUAGAAACAUCACCUCAACUGCUGCUCUAAACUUAUAAAAU